rnacentral:tRNA from 1 species
GUCCCUGUAGCGCAAUGGAUAGCGCAUUGGACUUCUAAUCCAAAGGUCGUUUGUUCGAAUCCUACCUGGGAUG